CUACGGGUCGCUCCAGUGAGGAAUAUUGCGCAAUGGGCGAAAGCCUGACGCAGCGACGCCGCGUGGAGGAUGAAGGUCUUCGGAUUGUAAACUUCUGUUAAGUGGGGCGAAAUGUGCGGUUAUAAUACAGCCGCAAGAUGACAGUACCACUAGAGAAAGCACUGGCUAAUCUCGUGCCAGCAGCCGCGGUAAUACGAGAGGUGCAAGCGUUAUUCGGAAUAAUUGGGCGUAAAGGGUGCGCAGGCGGUUUAUUAAGUCAACUGUUUAAUUUCUCGGCCUAACUGAGAAUCAGCAGUAGAACUGAUAAGCUUGAGUAUGAGAGAGGGGAGUGGAAUUCUCGGAGUAGCGGUAAAAUGCGUAGAUCUCGAGAGGAACACCGAUGGCGAAGGCAGCUCCUUGGCUCAUUACUGACGCUCAUGCACGAAAGCGUGGGGAGCAAACAGGAUUAGAUACCCGCGUAGUC
rnacentral:rRNA from 1 species